rnacentral:lncRNA from 1 species
GGUAUAGAUAAGGUCUGCUCUUCCACUGUCUUCUUUCAUAAAAGGUUAACUCCACACUUGUCAAUAGCAAUGGUUGAUGGACCCUUUAAAGAACUGAAUUACAAAACGAAGUAAAUAUUAUGAAUAAAAAAGAAAGUGAAGGAAGCCCUACUUAAAUAUAAAUAAGUCCUUUAACUUGUAGAUUUUAGAAAAUCUAAAUCUGAAUUGCUUCUAUUCAAUAAAAAGAUGUUGAGAUAGACAAGGAUUGCAACAACAGAACAACUCUAACGAGGAAUAAAGCAGUGGAGGUAA